rnacentral:rRNA from 1 species
UACGGAGGGUGCAAGCGUUGCUCGGAAUUAUUGGGCGUAAAGGGUAGGUAGGUGGUCUCAUUUGUCUGGGGUGAAAGCCUUGAGCUUAACUCAAGAAGUGCCCCAGAAACGGUGAGACUGGAGUCCUGGAUAGGGUCGUGGAAUUCCCGGUGUAGCGGUGAAAUGCGUAGAGAUCGGGAGGAACACCAGAGGCGAAAGCGGCGACCUGGACAGGUACUGACACUCAACUACGAAAGCGUGGGGAGCAAACAGG